UGGUGCUUCGCAUGAUUGUACCGUCUUGUGCAAGUUACUCUUUGCAUUACCAAUCGCUUUGCCAAUAGGCUUUUGAAUCUUUUUCAAAUAAAUUUCUCGAAACUCCUCAUUGCUCAUAUCAGCAAACUUGUUCAACCCAACAACAUGCCCACCAGGAUUAUUUUUCUUUUCAACAACAUACUCCAAAUUAUUCUUAAAAUUCCUGAACCUCCUUUCUGCCUCUUCUGUAUGCUUGUAAGCCUUGCCAUGCUUAUCUUUCCAUCGUUGAAAUAACUCGAAUACCCGCUCCUCUGAAACAAACUCAUUAAAGUCAUGACCAAUGAUG
rnacentral:lncRNA from 1 species